AUUGUUUCUUACACGAGGCUCCUUUGUCAACUUUGAGGACGGCGGCUAGCGGAACAAACAACCGGUAAGGUUACCAUUUGUGAUACAAGUUAUGCCCCAGUGUUUUGUCAGGUUUUGGAAAAAUGGCAAAGCGGAGAAGAGAAUUAGUCCUCCGAAAG